AUUGAACGCUGGCGGCAGGCCUAACACAUGCAAGUAGAACGAGUGGCUGCCGGGUGAGUCAUGUCUGGGAAACUGACUGAUGGAGGGGGAUAACUACUGGAAACGGUAGCUAAUACCGCAUAACAUCAGAUGUGCCCAGAUGGGAUGAGCUAGUUGGUGGGGUAACGGCUCACCAAGGCUACGAUCCCUAGAUGGUUUGAGAGGAUGACAAGCCACAUGGGAACUGCGACAAGGUCCAGACUCAUACGUGAGGCAGCAGUGGUGAAUAUUGCACAAUGGGCGCAAGCCUGAUGCAGCCAUGCCGCGUGUAUGAAGAAGGCCUGAGGGUUGUAAAGUACUUUCAGCGGGGAGGCGUUACCCGCAGAAGAAGCACCGGCUAACUCCGUGCCAGCAGCCGCGGUAAUAC
rnacentral:rRNA from 1 species